rnacentral:misc_RNA from 1 species
AGAAAAUAGAAUGGAUAUGUCUGAACCAACAAUUGCUUGCAUUGCCGAUUUGGCCUUCAAAUAUGCAGAACAACUGGCAAAGGACCUUGAGCUUUUUGCACAGCAUGCUGGUCGUAAAUCUGUGAACAUGGAAGAUGUCAUACUUUCUGCUCAUAGAAAUGAACAUCUAGCUGCCUCAUUGAGGUCCUUCUCCAAUGAUCUGAAAGCAAAAGAACCCCAGUCUGAGAAAAAACGGAAGAAAGUGUCUAAAAAAAGAAGAAAAAGCUAGUACCAGUG